AGUGAACGCUGGCGGUAGGCCUAACACAUGCAAGUCGAACGGCAGCACAGUAAGAGCUUGCUCUUACGGGUAGCGAGUGGCGGACGGGUGAGGAAUACAUCGGAAUCUACUUUUUCGUGGGGGAUAACGUAGGGAAACUUACGCUAAUACCGCAUACGACCUACGGGUGAAAGCAGGGGAUCUUCGGACCUUGCGCGAUUGAAUGAGCCGAUGUCGGAUUAGCUAGUUGGCGGGGUAAAGGCCCACCAAGGCGACGAUCCGUAGCUGGUCUGAGAGGAUGGUCAGCCACACGGGAACUGAGCCACGGUCCAGACUCCUACGGGAGGCAGCAGUGGGGAAUAUUGGACAAUGGGCGCAAGCCUGAUCCAGCCAUACCGCGUGGGUGAAGAAGGCCUUCGGGUUGUAAAGCCCUUUUGUUGGGAAAGAAAAGCAGCAGGUUAAUACCCCGCUGUUCUGACGGUACCCAAAGAAUAAGCACCGGCUAACUUCGUG
rnacentral:rRNA from 1 species